GACGAACGCUGGCGGCGUGCUUAACACAUGCAAGUCGAACGGAAAGGCCCUGCUUUUGUGGGGUGCUCGAGUGGCGAACGGGUGAGUAACACGUGAGUAACCUGCCCUUGACUUUGGGAUAACUUCAGGAAACUGGGGCUAAUACCGGAUAGGAGCUCCUGCUGCAUGGUGGGGGUUGGAAAGUUUCGGCGGUUGGGGAUGGACUCGCGGCUUAUCAGCUUGUUGGUGGGGUAGUGGCUUACCAAGGCUUUGACGGGUAGCCGGCCUGGGAGGGUGACCGGCCACAUUGGGACUGAGAUACGGCCCAGACUCCUACGGGAGGCAGCAGUGGGGAAUAUUGCACAAUGGGCGGAAGCCUGAUGCAGCAACGCCGCGUGCGGGAUGACGGCCUUCGGGUUGUAAACCGCUUUCGCCUGUGACGAAGCGUGAGUGACGGUAAUGGGUAAAGAAGCACCGGCUAACUCCGUG
rnacentral:rRNA from 1 species